GUUCACUUUCACCAAACACCGCUCGUUCAAACAACUUAGUCUAUGUUCGGUGUUGAUGAUGAAAUUCGACUUCUAAGUGCGCUCCUUCACAACUUACCCGUCCAUUGCACAAGAAAAAAACUGCAGGUCUGAAGUGAAGAUCUAAAUGACCCUGGAGGACGUCCCCCAUCCAUUUGUGACCUCCUCAGACCUGAUGUCCCAGUCCUCGGUCCAACCCAGCCCUGAGGUCACAGUAGAGGAAACACAUUUGUAGUUUAGUCUGCAGCAUGGAGAUCAUCUGGAUCACUUCAUCAGGUCCUGGAAGCUCUGUUGUUAUUAAAUGACUGACCAUUCUGACCUGGCAAAGGUCACCAUUAGCAUGAGCAGGGAGGGGCCGGGGAGGGGAGCAGGGCUUACCCACAGCUGACUGAGGGUGAAGACGGAAGGAUGGAACAAACUGCAUGUUAUUCUAUUAAUGUCAAUUACUUCAGCUGUGAGAAAUGGAUUGUUGUUAGUCAAAGGAACGGUGUUUCCUGAAGAAACCUGGUUCUACAUUGUCAACUAGAACAGCUAGAACUCUUAUCUAGUCCCACCUCAAACUUCAAGUCCUUUUACGACCUGAAAAAGACUGUAAAAGUUGUGGCCUCAGCUUUAGUCCCAUGUUCUGCUGACUCUGAUAAAUCACAGACACAUGGGGAGAGACCAAAGGAGACGCAAAGACGACACCGCUGCUGCAUUUUUAAUUAUGAUGUAAUUACAUUUAUGAUCCCAGAAUGGAUGGAAUCCAGAGCGGCAGAUAGUGGCUCACACACGGAGUCAAACAGAGACGGAUAAAUAUGAUGCCCGGACAUAAUCAGUCACUCUGAUGGUGACAGCAUGAUGAAGUAUUUAGACAGAUUUUAAAUGGUAUUUGUUUAACAUCCUGUAGAAUCAGGUACAGAACAGACCCAUUGAAGGAAAUUGACUAAUGACCAGCUCCGACUGCCUGCUGAGUGCACUGCUCUCUGUAGCCUUUCCAGGAACACAUUAACAGCCUGCAAUAGUGCACUAGCUUCCUCUUUUAAUAGCAUUGUCUUCCUGGUCCUCUGGCACCAGCCGUCACUUUUACACAGGAUCUCUAUCUGCACUGAAACGACCUAAAAGUGAUUAACCUUAAUGUGUACAGCACAGCCGAAUGUACAAAACAGUGCUGACUGUUUGUUAAAGGUUGAAUUCUGUUGGCUCGGAGCCCGACUCAGAUGUGGAACUUCUUUCCAAGGUUUGAAGAAAUCAGUGUUUUUGUUGUUGAAUUAUAAAAACAAACAAGAAAAGCAGCUCUGCAGACAACUUUUAUAUCUGUGACCAAAGAAAUCAGUGAACCAGUGAAAAGGACUCUUUCGAAGGUUGGACGGAGAGUAACUAAGAAUUGAACAAGUCAAGUCACGGCAGGAAUAAACAGUAAAUUCAUGAGAGGAAAGUUUCUUGUUAAACUGUAUUUAUAUAUUCUAAGGCAGCUGAUGAACUUUCUACCCACCUUUAAAUUCCCCAAAAUGUCUUUUUUGUGUGAAGCAAACAGCUGUGAACUCUCAUUGGUCAAUUAGAGGCAUUCCAGUGACCCAUUGUUAGAUAAAAGUGGAAGCAAACUGAAGUGAGAGGUUUGUGAACAAAUCAAGGAGGUGAAAAGGCCAAAACAAUCUUGAAAGAAAAAAAUAUAUAUUUUCUACUUUCGAAUGUUGGAAAUGUGUGUUUUUUUUUUUGCCUUUUCUUACACAAAAAUAAAA